rnacentral:rRNA from 1 species
CAGCCGCCGCGGUAAUACAGAGGGUGCGAGCGUUAAUCGGAUUUAUUGGGCGUAAAGCGUGCGUAGGCGGCUUCUUAAGUCGGAUGUGAAAUCCCUGAGCUUAACUUAGGAAUUGCAUUCGAUACUGGGAAGCUAGAGUAUGGGAGAGGAUGGUAGAAUUCCAGGUGUAGCGGUGAAAUGCGUAGAGAUCUGGAGGAAUACCGAUGGCGAAGGCAGCCAUCUGGCCUAAUACUGACGCUGAGGUACGAAAGCAUGGGGAGCAAACAGGAUUAGAUACCCCCGUAGUCCCUGUCUCUUAUAC